rnacentral:piRNA from 1 species
UCUGUUUCCACUAUCUGUCCAUUGAU